GAUGAACGCUGGCGGCGUGCCUAAUACAUGCAAGUCGAGCGAACGGACGAGAAGCUUGCUUCUCUGAUGUUAGCGGCGGACGGGUGAGUAACACGUGGAUAACCUACCUAUAAGACUGGGAUAACUUCGGGAAACCGGAGCUAAUACCGGAUAAUAUUUUGAACCGCAUGGUUCAAAAGUGAAAGACGGUCUUGCUGUCACUUAUAGAUGGAUCCGCGCUGCAUUAGCUAGUUGGUAAGGUAACGGCUUACCAAGGCAACGAUGCAUAGCCGACCUGAGAGGGGGAUCCGGCCCACUGGAAAUGAGGCACGGUUCAGACUCCUUAGGGAGGGCGCAGUUGGGAAACUUCCCGAAAUGGGGAAAAGCGUAAGGAGGAAAGGCGGGUGAGGUAUGAAGGGCCUCGGAUCGGAAAACCCUGUUUUUAGGGAAGAACAUAUGUGUAAGUAACUGGGCAAAACUUUGAGGUACCUAAUCAAAAAGCCACCGCUAACCACGUG
rnacentral:rRNA from 1 species